GAAGGUGGAAUCUCAGUCUGGUUGUAGGGAUACAGUGACCAGGUGACGACGGAUUUCUCAAGUAACAACCUCAUGGCUUGGUCACAGUGUCCAUAUAACACAGACAGCAACUGUUUCUUCC
rnacentral:precursor_RNA from 8 species